GAGAUGGAUAUACCAAAAGUGAGGGAAUCGUUUUGGAGGUGAAGGAGCAUGCUGUAUUUUUGGAAACUGUAAGUUUAGGGCUGUAAGUCCAGGUGUGCAAGAGAGUACAGAUCCCAAAAGAAGUGAAAGAAGAAAAAUAAAUUAGGAAGUGCCACAUUGUUCAGAAGUACUGGAGAAUGACAAAGUACCUGGACCCUUCAUCUUCCUCCUUUGCUGAGGCUAAAAGGAAAGAAUAAAUAACAGUUGAAGGAAAAGAUCAAUGAAGGCCUUGCCUGGAAUAACAGAUAGAAAGUACCUGGAAAAGGGAAACCAUAAAUGCUAUAGAACCUCAUUCUUCAUCCUUUGAAUCCUCUGGCCGGACCAUUAAAGAUCAACUGCAGCUCUUCCCUUGAGCAUAGGUGUUUGCUUUGCUUAUGUUAGUGCCCAGCUAUCCAGGGUGGCAUUGAAAACCUGUCUGCAAAUACGGUGGAGGCUUUCUUGAUGGCUAAUCCAUAAAGUUUGCAAAAGUUA